UACAGAGGGCCCGAGCGUUGAUCGGAAUCACUGGGCUUAAAGGGUUCGUAGGCGGAUUGACAAGUGCUUUGUGAAAUCCCACGGCUCAACCGUGGAAUUGCUUGGCAGACUGUCAGUCUUGAGCACGACAGGGGCCAUCAGAACGCUAGGUGGAGCGGUGAAAUGCGUAGAUAUCUAGCGGAAUGCCGAAGGUGAAGACAGAUGGCUGGGUCGUCGCUGACGCUCAGGAACGAAAGCAUGGGUAGCGAAC
rnacentral:rRNA from 1 species